CAGAGUAACUGUUGACAUCGUGACGGUAUCCAACCAGAAAGCCACGGCUAACUACGUGCCAGCAGCCGCGGUAAUACGUAGGUGGCAAGCGUUGUCCGGAUUUAUUGGGCGUAAAGCGAGCGCAGGCGGUUUUUUAGGUCUGAUGUGAAAGCCUUCGGCUUAACCGGAGAAGUGCAUCGGAAACCGGGAAACUUGAGUGCAGAAGAGGACAGUGGAACUCCAUGUGUAGCGGUGAAAUGCGUAGAUAUAUGGAAGAACACCAGUGGCGAAGGCGGCUGUCUGGUCUGCAACUGACGCUGAGGCUCGAAAGCAUGGGUAGCGAACAGGAUUAGAUACCCUGGUAGUCCAUGCCGUAAACGAUGAGUGCUAAGUGUUGGAGGGUUUCCGCCCUUCAGUGCUGCAGCUAACGCAUUAAGCACUCCGCCUGGGGAGUACGACCGCAAGGUUGAAACUCAAAGGAAUUGACGGGGGCCCGCACAAGCGGUGGAGCAUGUGGUUUAAUUCGAUGCUACGCGAAGAACCUUACCAGGUCCUGACAUCUUCUGCUAACCUAAGAGAUUAGGCGUUCCCUUCGGGGACGGAAUGACAGGUGGUGCAUGGUUGUCGUCAGCUCGUGUCGUGAGAUGUUGGGUUAAGUCCCGCAACGAGCGCAACCCUUAUUGUCAGUUGCCAGCACUUAGUUGGGCACUCUGGCGAGACUGCCGGUGACAAACCGGAGGAAGGUGGGGAUGACGUCAAAUCAUCAUGCCCCUUAUGACCUGGGCUACACACGUGCUACAAUGGACGGUACAACGAGUCGCGAAACCGUGAGGUCAAGCUAAUCUCUGAAAGCCGUUCUCAGUUCGGAUUGCAGGCUGCAACUCGCCUGCAUGAAGUUGGAAUCGCUAGUAAUCGUGGAUCAGCAUGCCACGGUGAAUACGUUCCCGGGCCUUGUACACACCGCCCGUCACACCAUGAGAGUUUGUAACACCCAAAGCCGGUGAGGUAACCUUCGGGGGCCAGCCGUCUAAGGUGGGACAGAUGAUUAGGGUGAAGUCGUAACAAGGUAGCCGUAGGAGAACCUGCGGCUGGAUCACCUCCUUUCUAA
rnacentral:rRNA from 1 species